rnacentral:miRNA from 1 species
UGGCGAGAGCGUGGCAAGCGGCGG